AUGCCUAGACACGUUAAUUAAGGCUUUUUAAAAAAUUAGUUGCAGUCUGAUAGCGACGGCAGUGAGGAUCGAGGCUCACCUCAAAGAGAUACAGCAUGUACGUACAAUACAGAACGUUUAUUUAACUUAUAUAUACUCUAAAGUAAAUAUAAUACUUAUUUAUUAAUUCCAUGUCCAAAUUCAAUAUUUCAUUUUAUUAGUAAUGAAAUUAGUAAUGAGUUUGCGUGUGGCAGUUGUUUGAUGUUCGCGCCACUCAACCAAGUUGGAUAAGGCAUUAUAUAUGGGACGCUGGGGGGGGGGGGGGAUAUUUUUCAUUCGCAUUUUAUAAUUUUAAAAAAAUUGAAGUUUAUAGCUAGAGCGAGAAAAUAAUUAAAAAAACAGAUGAAAGAGCGUGAAUAACGAGAGUGAGUGAGGAAAGUUUUCAGAAUGCGUGUAUGGAUAGCAUAAAUUAUUUGCAGUUCACCUAUUCUUUCUUCACUGUGUAAGAAGUCUUUUUGCGUGUUUAUUUUUUCAGCAACCGAACCAUCAAAAGGGGGCUCCAUCCACCGUAGGAAAAAGAUAGCCAUUCAGCACUUAGCUGGUUUCAUUCAAACAGUGGCUGAAAGCCUGACCUUGGAAGAGGUCUUACCUUUGAGUGCAAUUCUAAUAAAUGAUAUGAACAGCUUCGUAAGUGCUGGAAAGGUAAACCAUCAUAAAGCCAGUAACUAAGGCUCUAAGGUACGGAGUGUAAGAAGUCUUUUUGCGUGUCUAUUUUUUCAGCAACUGAAACCUCAAAAGGCGGCUCCCGCCACCGGAGAAAAAAAAGAGCGAUUCAUCAUCUAACUGGGUUUAUCGAAACAAUCGCAGAAGGAUUAUCUUUGGAAGAAGUCCUUCCAUUAAGUGCUGUUCUGAUUAAUGAUAUCAACAGAUUCGUAGCUGCUGGAAAGGUAAACCAUCAUAAAGCCAGUAACUAAGGCUCUAAGGUAUCUCAGAACUCUUAGGAAUGGUUUCACAGUUUCCAUUAGAUUAUAUGCAUUAUGUGUGUCUUGGAGUUAUGAGAAGGUUGCAGAUGAAAGAGCGUGAAUAACGAGAGUGAGUGAGGAAAGUUUUCAGAAGGUGUGUAUGGAUAACAUAAAUUAUUUGCAGUUCACCUGUUCUUAAAUGUUUAAGAUCUAAUGUUUUAUAAUUUUUGAAAUGACUUUUUUUCUCUCUUUUUUUUUAAUAGCAAAAGGAAAGAAGCGUUUGCAUGAAGAGGUAUGUUCCUUAUGUUUCUUCUAAUUUUAUUUACCUUAUAUAAUAGGUUGAAAUAUGUACAUGUAUAAUGUCUUUUUUUU